rnacentral:tRNA from 38 species
GCCCCUGUAUCCCAAUUGGUAGAGGAGACAGCCUCAAAAUCUGUACAGUGUGGGUUCGAGUCCCACCGGGGGCACCG